rnacentral:sRNA from 1 species
AAAAAUUUUAAAAAAUGUUUUAUAAUAAACAUAGUAAUACUCAAAUUACAAAAAAAAAAAAAAAAUUUUAUAUAAAUUACUAGAUAAGUUUACCAAAGGUGGAAGAGGACUCCUCCAUAUUCUUUCCAAAAAGGGACAAGUUUGGGCAUUGUAUCUAAAUUGGUCCCUGAGUGGAACAAGAAUACCCCAGAUAAAGUUAAACACAAGUAUGAGAUGGUGGAAUACGCCAGAAUCUAGAUUUCCUUUAUUCUAUUAUUCUUAAUCUCACUUCUUCGACCUUUUUAUGCAACCAAUAUAGGCAUAAUCAUUGGAAUAU